GCUUUGUCCUGAGCUGUUCUGUGAGCUGUGCUCCUUCUGGGAUAUGUGAUAAGGAUAUGUCACAAGGAAAGCCUGGAAUACAAUGAUGUUUGGAGGGGGGCAGUGGUUCAGUAUCUACUGAAAGUGGCAAAUUGGAAUUGUGUGCUUCAAAUAAGUGUUUGGAGCAGCUUCCUCAAAUACUGGGCUUGCAGCAUGGAUGCAGAUCUUCAGCAUAUCUGGAGGAGUUGAGAGACUUGAGAUUGCUCAGCCAACCUGUCCAUGAAGCCAAAAAAUGCCACUGAAACCCCUGGGGGUGCUCUGUCUCAACAGGAGCUCUGUUUCUGGGAUGAAGGAGCACUCAGCGUCCAUACCCUCAGUAUUUUGUGUUAGGAGGAAAUGUUCUUUCCUGACGUCUUUAAAUUUCACCCCUUAAUGGAGAGGAGAAGUAGGCACUGAUUGCAGUCAGUGUGCAGAUUGCUCCAUGUUGGUGCACUGUAGCUGCCUUCAAUUUCUGCACCUCACUGACCUGUAACCAUGUGGGACGGGGAAUGGAGAGCAUCUCUGUGUGCAGAAUGUGGUGGGUGAGUUCCUCCAGCACUUGCCUGCCCUGCUUCAUCCACCUGUGCCCAUGGAGCAGCCCCUGUUCCAACUCCUGCCUUGUGUGUUCCCAUCUCCUUUUCUUUUCUUUCCAUUGCAAGCUCAGUUUGUAGUUAUACAGUCAGGUCUCCACAGAGUAAUUUACUGGCAGAAUCUCUCCCAGAAUCCAGCUUGAAACCAAGCUGUAAAAACAGCUGAGAGUGUAAAUAAUUCAUGCAGACAAUAUGACUUUUUUAUGUAAAUUCGGUGCAUUAACCCUCUAUUAUAAUGAUGGACGACAGAUAUGGGCGACGUUGCCUUGGUAAGAGCUAAUGGAUGGCCACCAUAAAUUCACUGCACAUUUUAUUGUGUUGCUGGAAAUUGUGCCUUCAGGCAAUGCUGUUUACUUUUAUGUAAAACUCAGGGUUCCCUAAAUAUUACAAAUAUUUUACAUCAGACUCCUCAGCAUUUGGGCACAGCACACAAAUCAAGCUUUCUUCAUCUGAGUUGUAAUUAAAGGUUUGUUAUUUUUUUCGGGGACAAUUAUCUAAAACUAUAAAGAGAAAUAUUUUUUCCCUUUAGAUGUUCAGUCAUUGACUUAUUAGCAAAACCUUUGAAGAAAGAUAUUAAAUAACUGCAGCGUAUAACUU
rnacentral:lncRNA from 7 species